UUUUCUUGGCGCAUCAAAUUAUUUAAAAUUUAUCACUUCAUACAAAAUGGUUGAAAUCAGAGAAAGUUUUAUAGCUGUUAGAGAAGAAGCAAACAACCGUCUUACUAAGGGAAAGAAAACAAAAAGAAAGACCCAGAAGAUGAGGAAGAUACUAUAUUGUUUUGGAGAAGAUGCUGCUUGUAAUCAUGUUUAACUUGAUUGUACAAAACUUUCUUUGGUCAACAUUUUUAAUACAAAAACUACAACUUU